rnacentral:rRNA from 1 species
GGUGUAGGUGGUUUGAUAAGUCAGUGGUGAAAUCUUUCGGCUCAACCGAGAAACUGCCAUUGAUACUGUUAAUCUUGAGUUCGGUUGAGGUAGGCGGAAUGUGUAAUGUAGCGGUGAAAUGCUUAGAUAUUACACAGAACACCAAUUGCGUAGGCAGCUUACUAGACCGACACUGACGCUGAGGCACGAAAGCGUGGGGAGCGAACAGGAUUAGAUACCCUGGUAGUCC